CGCCUUCCAAACUGCUGGGAUUACAGACAUGAGUCACCACACCCGGCCAGAAAAAAAAAAUAACUUUUAUGAGUUAAAAAUACAAAACAGUCCUCGAGAAAGGAGAAAUGCCCUUCAUCACAUUCCAGCAGCAAACAGCCUGCCUAUAAACAACUUAAGCAAAGCAAUUUUUUUUUUUUUGAGACAGAGUCUCUGUCACCUAGGCUGGAGUGCAGUGGCGCAAUCUCGGCUUGCUGCCAGCUCCGCCUCCCGGGUUCACACCAUUCUCCUGCCUCAGCCUCCCGAGUAGUUGGGACUACAGGUGCCCCGCCACCACGCCCAGCUAAGCAACUAUUUUUUUUACUAUGGAGUCAGGAAGAAGGUUUGAGCAGCAAAAUUCUCCAUGCCCUGAAGGAUGAACUCUUCCAGGAGAAUCUAAUAGCUCUUUAAGCAAAGAGACUGCUGCUAGGCCCACCCACCAGUCCCUGCCCUAUGCAAGUGAAUCCUAGCAGGGGAAGAGAUUACUCUGCAACUAAGACCCUUGGAAUUGCAGUACAGUGAAAUCACCUGCUUCCAGCCCUCAACUCCAAAACAUCUAGGAUGAUUGACCUCCACAAAGCAAGCCCAGCACUUUCUCCCGACUUGAGGCAGAUUUUUCAGGCAUGAAAGGUCACAGCUGCACCCUCACUCCCAUUCCAACCCCACCAAGGAGUUGGCAGAAAGUCCAGGCCAGCUGAAAACCCAGCCGUGGGAUAGCCUGCUCCAGCCAGCAACUGUGUGUCACCUCCACUGAUCUCCUGGGCCUGAGCAAGUCAGGAUAUAUGUCAGCUCCCACCUGGGGUGGCUACUUCUUAAUGUUGCUGAGGUCCUUAGAGCAGGAGCCAAGAAAAAUGCAGCAAUUGUGAGACUCUGCAAUUCUGGAAUCUCUGUUAAAUGCUUGAGUUGUGAAGGUGCAAACAUAAACCUCAUUAUCUCUUUUCUGGGAAUUUUGCUUUUCCAAAAGAGUAUUUGCCACUAGCCCCUUUGACAGCGGCAAACAUAAGGAUAUUGUGGGUUCUGACAGAACAAAUUUCCUUCUGGAAAUAGUUGCAGAAAGAGGACAAAGGAGGCCAAAAUGAGUGCAAGUGGGUAGCAAAAACUCAACAUACCAACCCCAGUGUUGUUCCCUGCCACCUCCUCCCCCUGCUUGCACUUCAGCUUGAGUUGGGAAUGCCUGCUGCCAAAAGUGCCAGUGCAGUUAAAUGCUGCUUAGCCUCACCAGUGGCUUCUCUCUCACUUGGAGAAAUAAUAACUAGUCAAAUGCUGAAGAUCCUCCAGGCAUAUUAAUGAUCUGUUCAUGUUGUUUAUAGGACAAAUGGAAUGACUAUAACCAAGAUGCUGACAGUGAGUGAUGAUUACUAUCUGACAAAGCACUAUUCUCAGUAAAGUCUGGUUUUCAUCUGGGGAGACUGAGGGAAAAUUCAAAGGCGCAAAGCAAAUGGCAGAAGCCUGGCAGAUUUUUGUACCGGUUUCUAACAUUCAUGGAUUCCCUAGCAUGCUCCAGGCACUGUGAAGUGGUUACUUAGUUAUCUCCUUAAUCUACACAACAGGUACCUCUGAAGUGAGUACUGUGAUCCUUACCUAUAGCCAAAGAACCCUGGUAACUUAUCUAGGCUUCCACAGUGGCAAAGAAAAAUAUCCCUAAGGGAUUCUGACCAAGUCCUUAAAUCAUUAGCACCAUUGGUCAAGACUCAGUUGCAAGAGACAGAAACCCAGCUCAACGUAUGCACCAUCUAACUAACUUCAGGCAUGGCUAGAUCCAUGGAUCUAACCAUGUCACAUGCACUAACUCCAUCUCUCCUCAUUGAUCUUUUUAUCUCAGUUUGCCACAGCUUCAUUCUGUGUGUGUCGUAAACUUUAUUCUCUUCUGCAGCAGAGCUUCCCCUUAUACAAUCGGGAAGCUGAACACAAAUAGUUCCAGCCAACAUUAUCAUUUAUCUCAUGAUCCCAGAGGAAGAGAGAGCCUUUCUUUUUCAGAAUCCAUGUGUAAUCUCUCAGGGGAGAUGCUGGCUCCAUUCAGGUCACAUUGCAUCUAUCCUUAAACCAGUCACCACAGUGGGGAGUUGAGUCCCGUGACUGACAGCCCACUGAGAUCACAUGAAGAGCGAAGCAGUGUCUCUGUGAAAGGAAGGUUACUGGACAAAACCCAGAUGCCUAUUAGAAGCAAUUUAAUAGAACUAAUUGGGACUUAACUUAGAUGGAGUCCCUUAUGAACUUGGGUCUGCCAGUUUUCAUGGGAUUAAUUUCUUUUUGUUUUACAAUCUCUCGUGUGUGGGAUAUACUUGUUAAAAUGGGAUCAGAAGAACACACCAGGAAGCCCCAACCAGGUUUGUGUGUGUGUUAGAAUUAAUUUUAAAGUGAGUGGCUAGCAGUUUUCUUUCUAGAAUAAAACUGGCCUGGACACUCCAAAAAUGGUCAUUUCAUAAAAGGAAAAAAAGAAAAUAACGCUGAGGAACCACACCAGAUUAAGGAGACUCAAGAAUCAUGACAACUAAAUACAGUCUGUGAUCUUUUUUAUUAGAUCCUGGAUUUAAAACUGUAUAUUAAAAUGGCAUUAUUGUGACAAUUUUUCAAUCUUAGUAUCUCUAGGUUAGAUAAUGAUAUUUCAUUAAUGUCACAUUUCCUGAGUGAGACUGUGGUUAUAUGGAAGAAUGUCCUUGUUAUUAAGGGGCACAUGCUGCAGUAUUGGCGGAUGAAGAGUCGAUUAUGCAACUAAUUUUCAAAUGGCUCAGAAAAAGAUAUAUACACACAGAUAUAAGGAGAGAAAAAAUAGAAACUAUAGCAAAAUAUUAAGAAUUGAUGAAUCCAGGUGAAAGGUAUAUGGGUGUUCAUUAUAACACUGUACUAUUCUUGUAACACUUCUCUAGAUUUCAAAUUUUUCUAAAUACAACAUUGACGAGAAAAGAAAAAAUUAAGGUACAGCCUCAUAACAAUCUAAAAUUUAACUCCCCCACCCAUAACGCAGAAAGUAAAGUCCAAAAAAUUCAAUCGUGUAAAUGUGAGGUCAUUUAGUGCCAGGCUAGUUACGUGACUGAGGAUUUAACAGCCAGGGUUGCAGGAGUCCAAACUGUCCAGGUCCACUGCUGCUGGCGCCACCUGGUGGCAGUUAUCCGCUGAAGGCUGGGGAUUUGUUCUGGGUCCUAUUGGUAGUGAUGCCAGGAAUCUGCAGGUGGUAGCACCCCUUUCCUCAAUCAGAUCCAGGAGCUUGCCCAGGAGUAUUCCGACAACAAGGAGACCCACCCUCUUGUUUCCUGCUUUCCAAGAAGGGUUGCAGGUCGUGGGCAGGGGUCGAGGUGAAACACUCUGGGUCUAGUCCACGUGGGAAGCACUGGCAUCCAGCACCUGCUGCGAUAGCAGGCGGCGGGCUCUGCCACUCUGCCUGCAACAAAGUCCCUGGCUAUGGAAACCUAAUGACCACUAGUUCAAUGAGGAAGUGCUUGGAAGAGUUUGAUGCAGUUGCCUGUAUCAAAUCAUGGCUGAGAGGGGAACAUCACUUUGUCAGUGCAGCAAGGUCAGAAGAAAGAUCACACUACUAAUUUUUAAAAGUCAACAAACAGUUGAGAGACUAUUAAAAUUAUUGGAUACAUUAUUUGCACUCCAACUUACAUCAUUUAAAGCAGUUUUAUUACAGAAUAAAAGGGAAUGUAUUUUAAAUUUUUAUUUAUACUUUUUUAUAGAAUUUUUUCUUUUUCUGUUUUUUUGUUUUUUUGUUUGUUUGAGAUGGAGUCUCACUCUGUCGCCCAGGCUGGAGUGCAGCAGCAUGAUCUCGACUAACUGCAACCUCCACCUCC
rnacentral:lncRNA from 10 species